rnacentral:misc_RNA from 1 species
GUCUCCGUUGGUGAACCAGCGGAGGGAUCAUUACAGGACUCGCAAGACUCCUACAACCCUGUGAACUUAACUAUAAGCACGUUGCUUCGGCGGGUGUCUCGGAGGGGGUUCUCCCUCCCCGAGACGCUAAACCCGCCGGCAGCCUACUAUACUCUGUCUCUUUGCGUUGGCAUCUCGAGUACAAUCAAACAAGUUAAAACUUUCAACAACGGAUCUCUUGGUUCUG